rnacentral:piRNA from 1 species
UAGAAUCUGUGUCCUCUAUAACCAUAGCC